rnacentral:rRNA from 1 species
GAUGAACGCUGGCGGCGUGCCUAAUACAUGCAAGUCGAGCGAACAGAUGAGAAGCUUGCUUCUCUGAUGUUAGCGGCGGACGGGUGAGUAACACGUGGGUAACCUACCUAUAAGACUGGGAUAACUCCGGGAAACCGGGGCUAAUACCGGAUAAUAUUUUGAACCGCAUGGUUCAAUAGUGAAAGACGGUUUCGGCUGUCACUUAUAGAUGGACCCGCGCCGUAUUAGCUAGUUGGUAAGGUAACGGCUUACCAAGGCGACGAUACGUAGCCGACCUGAGAGGGUGAUCGGCCACACUGGAACUGAGACACGGGCCAGACGCCUACGGGAGGCAGCAGUAGGAAAUCUUCCGCAAUGGGCGAAAGCCUGACGGAGCAACGCCGCGUGAGUGAUGAAGGUCUUCGGAUCGUAAAACUCUGUUGUUAGGGAAGAACAAAUUUGUUAGUAACUGAACAAGUCUUGACGGUACCUAACCAGAAAGCCACGGCUAACUACGUGCCAGCAGCCGCCGUAA